GAUGACCUGGUGCUUGCACCGGUGAUUAGUGGCGAACGGGUGAGUAACACGUGAGUAACCUGCCCUUAACUCUGGGAUAAGCCUGGGAAACUGGGUCUAAUACCGGAUAUGACUCCUCAUCGCAUGGUGGGGGGUGGAAAGCUUUUUUGUGGUUUUGGAUGGACUCGCGGCCUAUCAGCUUGUUGGUGAGGUAAUGGCUCACCAAGGCGACGACGGGUAGCCGGCCUGAGAGGGUGACCGGCCACACUGGGACUGAGACACGGCCCAGACUCCUACGGGAGGCAGCAGUGGGGAAUAUUGCACAAUGGGCGAAAGCCUGAUGCAGCGACGCCGCGUGAGGGAUGACGGCCUUCGGGUUGUAAACCUCUUUCAGUAGGGAAGAAGCGUAAGUGACGGUACCUGCAGAAGAAGCGCCGGCUAACUACGUGCCAGCAGCCGCGGUAAUACGUAGGGCGCAAGCGUUAUCCGGAAUUAUUGGGCGUAAAGAGCUCGUAGGCGGUUUGUCGCGUCUGCCGUGAAAGUCCGGGGCUCAACUCCGGAUCUGCGGUGGGUACGGGCAGACUAGAGUGAUGUAGGGGAGACUGGAAUUCCUGGUGUAGCGGUGAAAUGCGCAGAUAUCAGGAGGAACACCGAUGGCGAAGGCAGGUCUCUGGGCAUUAACUGACGCUGAGGAGCGAAAGCAUGGGGAGCGAACAGGAUUAGAUACCCUGGUAGUCCAUGCCGUAAACGUUGGGCACUAGGUGUGGGGGACAUUCCACGUUUUCCGCGCCGUACUACGCAUUAAGUGCCCCGCCUGGGGAGUACGGCCGCAAGGCUAAAACUCAAAGGAAUUGAGGGGCCCGCACA
rnacentral:rRNA from 1 species